UUAUGAUAGUUAGUAAGUGUUGCAAGUAUGAAAGCAAUAGCUUUGAUACUUAAGGUAUAAAAUGGACCUAAACAUAAAACUUAACCAAAAUUUUCAAUUUUCUAAGAGUAAAAAGGGCACAUAAUUCUGUCAAAAUGCACGCCAGAUUAUCUAACUUUGCCUGCCCAGUCCCCUCAUGAUAGUAAGUAAGUGUACCAAGUUUGAAUGCAAUAGCAUUGAUACUUUCUGAGAAAAGUGGACCUAAACGCAAAACUUAACCGGACGCCGACGCCAACGCCAACGCCGACGCCGACGCCGACGCCAAGGUGAUGACAAUAGCUCAUAA